AUGCAGCAUGAUGAGGUUUCUGCCACCAGUCAACAUAGGAGCAGUGACUUCCCUAGUGUGUCCAGACGUUUCCAGGACUUUGAAUCUGCGAAGACAUACGGCACCGUGUACAAAAGGUCAGAGCCAAGUAAGCACAGGAAAAGAUUGGGUUCGGAUGCGUUUGGAAAUGGACAUAAUACUUCUGUUUCCAAUGAUGAUGGUGGACAUCAACCUCCAGACUGCAGUCCUGUUGCACCUACUGGUAGUUUACGAAGAAACGAAAGGAGGUCAUGUGCAUACACUGAUUAUGGUAGAGGAAGGGAUGCAAUCUCUCAUGUGCAAAGUUCUUCCCUCGAAGCAGCAACUAGUGGGAGACAAAUUGUUGCAAAUGUGCGUGAAGUAAUGUGGGGAUCAACAUCAAAGACUGCUGGUAUAAAGUCUUCUAUGAACAAAAGAGAGAGUUGCAACUUUCCUGAUACACAUCUAUUGGAGAAAAAGCACCAAGUAUCGAGGCCAUGGUUGAUGUUGCUAGAGCAUGAAGAUAUCUACCGUUAUAUUCCUCAACUUGGCGAUGAGGUUAUGUACUUGCGACAGGGUCAUGAAGAAUAUGUUUAUGAAGUGCAAUCAUCGGAUAAUUGCCCAUCAAAUCGGAUCAAAGGCCUUAAAGCUGCUGAGCUUUGCGAAAUUAAGGGUCUUGAUUACAAGCCAGAUAGAGGGUCUGGUGAAAGCUGCUGUGAAUUAACUAUUAAAUUCAUUGAUCACACUUCAAGUGGAUUUGGCAAAGAGUUUGUAAUCACAUUGCGUGAGCUAGUUACGUUCCCUGAUUUUCUUGUGGAAAGAACACGGUUUGAAGCUACUACCACGUAUAACUGGAGCAUCGCUGAUAGGUGCAAAGUUUGGUGGAUGGAUGAGGGAGAGGAUGGAGGAAGUUGGUGGGAGGGACGAGUAUUGGAAAUAAGACCUAAGUCACCUGAUUUUCCUGAGAGCCCUUGGGAGAAAUAUGUCAUACAGUAUGAAACUGAUGGUUCUGAACAUCCGCAUAGCCCCUGGGAGGUGCAUGAUGCUAAUAACCCAUUGGUUCCAUGGAAGCGUCCACAUAUUGAUCCCAGUACCAGGAACAAAUUGUUAUCAGCAGUGACCGGUUUACAGGAAAAGUCUCUCAGAAAUCAGGAUCGCUAUGGUGUUCUGAAGUUAGAUACUGUUGCAGGAAAAUCAGAUUUCAUAAACAGGUUCCCUGUCCAAUUCUCCAUUGAGGUGAUCAGAGCAAGACUACAGAGCGAUUACUACAGAACUCUGGAGGCUGUCAAACAUGAUGCCACUGUGAUGCUUGCCAAUGCCAAGUCUUAUUUUUCAAAGAGCGGCGAAAUGACCAAAAAGAUCCGCAAGCUAUCUGAGUGGAUCCAAGAUAAGAUUCUAUCACUAUAG
rnacentral:rRNA from 1 species